UAUCUGGUUGAUCCUGCCAGUAGUCCAUAUGCUUGUCUCAAAGAUUAAGGCCAUGCAUGUCUAAGUACAAACCUUAAUACGGUGAAACCGCGAAUGGCUCAUUAAAUCAGCUAUGGUUCCUUAGAUCGUCUCAUCCCUACUCGGAUAAACUGUGGAAAAUCUAGAGCUAAUACGUGCUUACAAGCCCUGACCUCACGGAGGGCGCAUUUUAUAGAUCAAAACCAAUCGGGGCUUGCCGCCGUCUGCUUGGUGACUCUGGAUAACUUUUGUGCUGAUCUAUGCAUGGCCUCUGCGCUGGCGACGUAUCUUUCAAGUGUCUGCCCUUAUCAACUUACGAUGGUAGGUGAUAUGCCUACCGAUGGUUAUAACGGGUAACGGGGAAUCAGGGUUCGAUUCGCGGAGAGGGAGCCUGAGAAACGGCUACGCACAUCUAAGGAAGGCAGCAGGCGCGCGCAAAUUACCCACUCCCGGCACGGGGAGGUAGUGACGAAAAAUAACGAUACGGGACUCUUUUGAGGCCCCGUAAUUGGAAAUGAGUACACUUUAAAUCCGUUAACAAGUAUCUAUUGGAGGGCAAGUCUGGUGCCAGCAGCCGCGGUAAUUCCAGCUCCAAUAGCGUAUAUUAAUGUUGCUGCAGUUAAAAAGCUCGUAGUUGGAUCUGAGGACUCGAAUUGGUGGUGCACCAUACGGUGUUACUGCCGAUUCGGCCUACCUAGUCGCGUGCUCGCUCUUGUGUUCUUAAUUGAAUGCCCUGAGUGCCGGCAAGUUUACUUUGAAAAAAUUAGAGUGCUCAAAGCAGGCCAUUAGCCGGAAUACUUCAGCAUGGAAUAAUGGAAUAGGACUUCGGUUCUAUUUUGUUGGUUUUCGGAACCCGAGGUAAUGAUUAAGAGAGACAGACGGGGGCAUUCGUACUGCGGUGUUAAGAGGUGAAAUUCUUGGAUCGCCGCAAGACGAACAACUGCGAAAGCAUUUGGCCAAGAAUGUUUUCAUUAAUCAAGAACGAAAGUCAGAGGUUCGAAGACGAUCAGAUACCGUCCUAGUUCUGACCAUAAACGAUGGCCAAACUGGCGAUCCGAGAUCGUUUGCUUAUUGACCUCUCGGGCAGCCUCCGGGAAACCAAAGUUUUUAGGUUCCGGGGGAAGUAUGGUUGGCAAAGCUGGAACUUAAAGGAAUUGACUGACGGAAGGGCACCACCAGGAGUGGAGCCUGCGGCUUAAUUUGACUCAAACACGGGAAAACUCACCCGGCCCGGACACUGUUAGGAUUGACAGAUUGAGAGCUCUUUCUUGAUUUCGGUGGGUGGUGGUGCAUGGCCGUUCUUAGUUGGUGGAGCGAUUUGUCUGGUUAAUUCCGAUAACGAACGAGACUCUAGCCUGCUAAAUAGUACGCCGAUACCUUUUUUCGUCGGUUGCUGACUUCUUAGAGGGACAAGCGUCUUGAAGACGCACCGAGAUUGAGCAAUAACAGGUCUUGUGAUGCCCUUAGAUGUUCGGGGCCGCACGCGCGCUACACUGAAGGGGACGCAGCGAGUUUUCCUGUUCGAAAGAACCGGGUAAUCUGUUGAAUUCGCCUUCGUGACAGGGAUCGGGGCUUGCAAUUAUUCCCGUGAACGAGGAAUUCCCAGUAAGCGCAAGUCAUCAGCUUGCGUUGAUUACGUCCCUGCCCUUUGUACACACCGCCGGUCGCUACUGACGAUUGAAUGGUUUAGCAAGGUCCUCGGAUUGGUGCCGACUUGGUGGCUAACACUAGGUCGCGAUACUGAAAAGAAGAUCAAACUUGAUCAUUUAGAGGAAGUAAAAGUCGUAAAACAAGGUUUCCGUAGGUGAACCCUGCGGAAGGAUCAUUA
rfam:Macrostomum lignano unitig_18746, whole genome shotgun sequence.